AUCUUUAAGAGCACCUGCAACGGUUCAGGUCUAAAUAUUGGUUUUAGGUAUACCAGUUUUAGCAAAAUUUUAAAUUUUGGAAUCGGCUAAAACACGCGCUCCCCACCGGUGUGAUGGCAAAUUUAAAACGGGUACACUUUUAUUGCAGACACUCAAUAAUUGAAAAGAAAAAAUUCAAUGGUUUUUAUAUUAAAAUUGUGAAAUAUGAUGGAUUAUAAAUAUUGUUAACAACUUUGUACAAAAACCGGUCAUUACACGGAUAUUCAAAUUUUUUAAUUUUUUUUUAAAGUUUAUUGUUGUUUUGCAUUAAUUUCAUUAGAAUGUUUCUGUUAUUGAAAAUGAAAGUUCAUAUAACGUUUGAACUCGAGAAACGCUGACUGGGCUCACUAAUUCGUUGAGGCCAAAAGCUAUUUAUUGAAAUAUGAAGUCAAGAAUAGUUUUACAUAAAUUAUUUAUAAAUGAUACAUGGUUUUUGUUAACAUGUUUUCUCAAUUUGUGUUACGUAUUGACCGGUUUUGGCGAGAAAAAACAUUCAAAUAACUUCUCAAAAAGAAACAAUUAUUACACCCAAUGCUACCCAAACAUGUGUGAAAAUAAUCAUCAUUGGCUAAAAUUUUCUCAGCGUGAGCCCCAAACGUCUAAAUCGGUCUGUCGUAUAUUUUGAAAUCCUGUUCCAAAUUUGCUUGAAUUUGGAACAAAGGCGUAUAACUGUUGGGAAUUUUGAAAUCGAUAACUGUGCUAAAACAGCAAUUUACGCCACCGGUGCCAGCCGAAAUGUUUUAGCGUGGUCGAAAACCGUGUUUUGCACCUACCGUUGGGACAGCCCUAACUCUAAACGUGCAUCAGUCUAGUCAGCUGAUUGCACCGAUUGCACACAUACAUGAGCAUAAAACACAAAACAACUUUGUACAACAGAUGUUUGAUCAUUUCAACGACUUUUCAUUCGUGAGUAUUGGUGAUCUAAGCAGGCCUGAAAAAUUCACUUGGAUUCCUACGGCCAUUUUGUACGCAGCCUUUUAGAAAGCAGCUUCAUGUUGGAGCAUCGAAUAAAGGUUUACGACAAACGCAUGCAGGCGCAGGAUCAGGCUCGAGAAGUGAUGGUGGUGGAGACUUUGGCGAAGAAUUUCUCUCUGUCCAUCUGGUCCGGACGACUACGAGGGGCUAAUAAACGGCAACAGUUUCCUCUAGGAUACGUUUCACCUCAAGCAUCAUGGAAAAAACCGGAGAUUAUCGAACGGAAGCGACAAGGAGCUCGCAGCCAUCAGUCACUCCUCGCAAGUUGUGUGUUGGGAUUUUUUUUUUCAUUGUGAAUUGUGAAUGAAAAGUAAUAGAAAUAAGAACUGUGAACUAAUUGUGUAACAAAAAGAUGAUAAGUACAAUAAUUGAAUAAAACGAAAGCUUUUCAAAAACAA